UGCAAGUCGAGCGGAUGAAGGGAGCUUGCUCCUGGAUUCAGCGGCGGACGGGUGAGUAAUGCCUAGGAAUCUGCCUGGUAGUGGGGGAUAACGUCCGGAAACGGGCGCUAAUACCGCAUACGUCCUGAGGGAGAAAGUGGGGGAUCUUCGGACCUCACGCUAUCAGAUGAGCCUAGGUCGGAUUAGCUAGUUGGUGGGGUAACGGCCUACCAAGGCGACGAUCCGUAACUGGUCUGAGAGGAUGAUCAGUCACACUGGAACUGAGACACGGUCCAGACUCCUACGGGAGGCAGCAGUGGGGAAUAUUGGACAAUGGGCGAAAGCCUGAUCCAGCCAUGCCGCGUGUGUGAAGAAGGUCUUCGGAUUGUAAAGCACUUUAAGUUGGGAGGAAGGGCAGUAAGUUAAUACCUUGCUGUUUUGACGUUACCAACAGAAUAAGCACCGGCUAACUUCGUGCCAGCAGCCGCGGUAAUACGAAGGGUGCAAGCGUUAAUCGGAAUUACUGGGCGUAAAGCGCGCGUAGGUGGUUCAGCAAGUUGGAUGUGAAAUCCCCGGGCUCAACCUGGGAACUGCAUCCAAAACUACUGAGCUAGAGUACGGUAGAGGGUGGUGGAAUUUCCUGUGUAGCGGUGAAAUGCGUAGAUAUAGGAAGGAACACCAGUGGCGAAGGCGACCACCUGGACUGAUACUGACACUGAGGUGCGAAAGCGUGGGGAGCAAACAGGAUUAGAUACCCUG
rnacentral:rRNA from 1 species